UGCGGGAAGGAUGGCGUUGGUCCCUCCGCCUGGGGCAUUUUCCUCAUGCGCAGAGUGAUCCCUGAUCCCGCCCUCGAACACCAGAAGGGAUAGUGCUGCCGCCCAGCGCCGCUCCGGUUGCCGGGCUGCUGGGCUGUGACGGGGAGCGGGGCGCUGUGAGCGCCUCCAUCCUCUCCAAGAGGCGGAGACCCACGAGACACGGCACCACCUGCAAAUGUCUGCAGGGAGCAAAGAUUCUAGCCCUGGGAGAUAUAUUGUGGGACCUGAAGCCGUGGACUGCGCCUCCAGCACUGCCCGGGAAGCAAGAAGCUCCAUGGACUGUGAGAACGGUGGUCAUCUGUGGCUCCAAGUCUGUCUGGAGAACAGCUUCCCCGGCAGCUGGGACAGUGAGGACAGCUCUGGGGACUGCAGCUCACCUGUGGUGAUGCCUUCAGCAUCCCAGAGCCCAGGGAUUUCCUCAGCAGGAAUCAUUAACUCUGCUUCACCAGUGUUAUUUGUAAGGCCUGCUUGUGGGGAGCAUACUUGUCUCCUGGCCAAGGGCUUCGGCCUGGCAAGUGCCUGUACUGAUCAGGGCCAGCCACCUCUGGAGCAGCCUGACUGCGUUUUUUCACCACAGCACUUAGUCUUGCUUUCCUCUGGACCUUCUCACAGUUUGCUCAUAGAACACCAAGGACACCAACUGCUUUCCCUGGUGUCUGCUUUCCAAGUGUGGAGGAGAACGGACCAGCCUGAGUUACAGCCAGCCAGGCUGAUGGUGGAGAAGGUAGUCAGGAAAAUAGCAAAAAGCUGUAGAGCUGAAAGAGACCUUGGGCUAGCCUUAUACUGGAUGAGAAGAAUUUCCUCAAGACAGCUACUUCUAUGAAGUGAAAUAUGCUGCUAUUUCAAGCCUGUUUUGAUGCUUGGGCUCUUGAGCCUCUUGGAUGUUGAUUGUUAGAGCAAUGUUUUCACCUUAGGACAAAACCUUGUUGCUUCAGCUCCAUAAGGAGCACGGUCACUUAUCUGGGAAGAACUAGUGCAAGGCAUGCAACCAGCUUGCUGAACCAAGUGUGCCCCAACAGAAAGGUAGCACU